rnacentral:tRNA from 1 species
UCCAGGGUAGCUUAGUGGACAUGGCAUCUGCCCGGUAAGCGGAACACUGUGGGUUGGAUUUCCAUCCCUGGAC